AUUCAGCCACUGCCAAAAUUAAGGCAAAACAGGGAGGGAGCUGGGGGUGGCAUAAACAUGCCCAGUUCUCCCUCAUCCUGCCCUUUUAUCUCUGCCGAUUCCUCCCCUUGGCUGAAUGUAUUGUGAUGUCAGAAGGCACAGGUGCCUCCAGGCCACAGAGCAGGACAGACAGGGUUGGAGAUUGGACCACUUGUGUGUGGAUGAGGUGUUUGCAGAGCCCCUACUGUGUGCAAAGAAAUGAACUGAGCUCUCUGGCCUCAGACCCUAAGCCCAACCCUGAUUCACUAAGCACUGGCAGCUUCAGGCCCACCACUGCUGGCCUCCCAUCUCUUUCUCCAAGCAACGGUGCCUGUGUGUUGAGCACUUCCGGACAAACACGCCUGCCAUGAUGGACCACAUUUCUGUGCAGAUGCUUGAGUACACACCGUCUCCCACUCCCACGGCUGCUUUGCAAGGACAGUGUUAAUGAUCCCCACUUUGUAAACAAGGAAAACUGAAGCUCAGAAAGGAGGGAUGGAGGGCGGUAAGGUUGGGCAUCCUACACAUAUGGUGAUAUCAUUGAACAUUUUGUGUUGAAGGAUGAUGGAGUGUUGAACACAGAAUCAGAGAAUUUUACUUUAUUUUA